rnacentral:SRP_RNA from 1 species
GCUGGGCGUGGUGGCGCGUGCCUAUAGUCCCAGCUACUCGGGAGGCUGAGGCGGGAGGAUCGCUUGAGCCCAGGAGUUCUGGGCUGUAGUGCACUAUGCCGAUCGGGUGUCUGCAGUAAGUUAGGCAUCACUAUGGUGACCUCCCAGGAACGGGGGACCACCAGGUUGCCUAAGGAAGGGUGAACCAGCCCAGGUCAGAAACCGAGCAGGUCAGAACUCCCGUGCUGAUCAGUAGUGGGAUCGUGCCUGUGAAUAGCUGCUGCACUCCAGCCUGGUCAACAUAGUGAGACCUCAUCUCU